AUACGGAGGAUCCGAGCGUUAUCCGGAUUUAUUGGGUUUAAAGGGAGCGUAGGCGGACGCUUAAGUCAGUUGUGAAAGUUUGCGGCUCAACCGUAAAAUUGCAGUUGAUACUGGGUGUCUUGAGUACAGUAGAGGCAGGCGGAAUUCGUGGUGUAGCGGUGAAAUGCUUAGAUAUCACGAAGAACUCCGAUUGCGAAGGCAGCCUGCUGGACUGUAACUGACGCUGAUGCUCGAAAGUGUGGGUAUCAAACAGGAUUAGAUACCCUGGUAGUCCACAUAGUAAACGAUGAAUACUCGCUGUUUGCGAUAUACAGUAAGCGGCCAAGCGAAAGCGUUAAGUAUUCCACCUGGGGAGUACGCCGGCAACGGUGAAACUCAAAGGAAUUGACGGGG
rnacentral:rRNA from 1 species